rnacentral:rRNA from 1 species
AGCGAAGUAGCUGAUUUCACACUGUCAAGAAAAGUCUCUAUCGAGGUUAAAGGUACCCGUACCGCAAACCGACACAGGUGGGUGAGGAGAGUAUCCUAAGGCUAGCGAGAGAACUGUUGUUAAGGAACUCGGCAAAAUGACCCCGUAACUUAGGGAUAAGGGGUGCCACCAUCAGGUGGCCGCAGAGAAUAGGCCCAAGCGACUG